UUUAUGGUCAGUGUGUGAAAGCAUUCAGUUCGAUUCGGUCGUUCAUCUCAUCUCGUGCUACAAAAAUGAUUUAAAACAAAACAAACACAAAAGUCCUUUUUAGAUUUAAACAGUCUAAAUUUAGUGAAUCGUGAGUUUACUUUACAUUAAGGCGAGGACUUCUUGCAGUGCUGAUUAUCACGAUGGUGAAAUAUUGUUGAGGACUUUCCUUGCAAGCAAAAUGGAGGUCCUUCGAUGCGCCUUUUAGAUGUUCAUCGAAUAUGAAAGGACACGGCCGGCUCUGUCCUGAUUGAGGACUUUCCUUGCAAGCAAAAUGGUAGAUGUUCACCGAAUAUUAAAGGACAGGGCCGGCUCUGCUGAUUAUCGGGAUAUUGAGGACUUUCCUUGCAAGCAAAAUGGAGGUCCUUCGAUGCGCCUUUUAGAUGUUCACCGAAUAUUAAAGGACACGGCCGGCUCUGUCCUGAUUGAGGACUUUCCUUGCAAGCGAAAUGGUAGAUGUUCACCGAAUAUUAAAGGACAGGGCCGGCUCUGUUAUCAUCAGGAUGUUGAGGACUUUCCUUGCAAGCAAAAUGGUGGUUCCUCGAUGCGCCUUUUGGAUGUUCACCGAAUAUUAAAGGACACGGCCGGCUCUGUCCUGAUUGAGGACUUUCCUUGCAAGCGAAAUUGUAGAUGUUCACCGAAUAUUAAAGGACAGGGCCGGCUCUGCUGAUUAUCGGGAUAUUGAGGACUUUCCUUGCAAGCAAAAUGGAGGUCCUUCGAUGCGCCUUUUAGAUGUUCACCGAAUAUUAAAGGACACGGCCGGCUCUGUCCUGAUUGAGGACUUUCCUUGCAAGCAAAAUGAUAGAUGUUCACCGAAUAUUAAAGGACAGGGCCGGCUCUGCUUAUCAGGAUAUUGAGGACCUUCCUUGCAAGCAAAAUGGUAUAUGUUCACCGAAUAUUAAAGGACACGGUGGGCUCUGGAUUUAAAUUGAAGUUGGGUUACCAAUCCAAAGAAAAAUCAAUGACGGCGAAGUUGCUGAAAGAGGAAAGGGUUCUGUGUCGGCGCCAUAGCGCAAGUAGCUCCUGACAUGCGAUUGAAGCAGCAGUUGGUAUACGCUUGAUAUCGAAAUCAUAUUUAAAUAUUUUUCGAAGAUAUUUUUUUUAGAGAUUGGUUGAAAACGUGGAAGAAUUUUUACAGUAAGUCCAGCGAUGUAGUCAAUUAACCUCACUUGGAUGUUAAGGAAGAAGCGUCUAACCAGCGGGAUAUACGAACCUUGAAGCUGGAGUAGCUGAGUCACAGAAAUUCAUUGUGUGGCAUCUUGAUUGAUCGUCCAAACAUUUUCUCCAAGGAUCGAAAAGCAAUAGAAGCAAAAUGAGUAAAAACUUGCGGAUGCGUUCAACCUCAAGAUUGUGGUAAAUUGGAACGUCGCGUUUUCAUACUUCAAAGAUGUCAUACCAAAGAUUUGUUACCGUAUGAUAAUCGCAUUUCAGUAGCUACUGACGCUCUGGCGCCGAAGCGGUUACCCUAUCCGGUUUCGACGACUUCGCCUUCAUUACUCGUCUGCCUACAAAUUUUGAUUCGAAAGAGAUGAAACAUGGAUGGCUGGAUGGCUCUACUUUUGGGAACUAUCAUUACUUGGAAUGCGUGAUAAUCAACUGAGAAUUCCUCGCCGUCGUAGGGGAAAAAGCAAAUUCUACGCUGUAUUCGGCGAAUGCGGCGUGUGAUUUGUUUGUACGUUACGUAAUUUCCAUUGACACUAGAUGAGAAACGACCGAAAUAAAUGUAUCAUUUAAUAUA